rnacentral:rRNA from 1 species
UACGAAGGGAGCUAGCGUUGUUCGGAAUCACUGGGCGUAAAGCGCACGUAGGCGGAUGUGUCAGUCAGGGGUGAAAUCCCGGAGCUCAACUUCGGAACUGCCUUUGAUACAGCACAUCUGGAGUCCGGAAGAGGUGGGUGGAAUUCCUAGUGUAGAGGUGAAAUUCGUAGAUAUUCGGAGGAACACCAGUGGCGAAGGCGGCUCACUGGUCCAUUACUGACGCUGAGGUGCGAAAGCGUGGGGAGCAAACAGG